UGAGUCAGUAACCAUUUAUUCUUUACAAAGAUACACUAAAGGUUAUCUUUUGCCUAUUAUAUCUUGUGGCUAUGCUUGUAUGUGAGAAUGGAAUAACGGAUUAUUAGCUCAAGCUGUUAUAUGAACAGUGAAUACUGUGAUUCAAAAUAAAAAUGGAUGAAGAGUGGAAAGAAAUGAAGAGCACAAAUACCAGCAAAGCACAAGCAUGAUGUCAAAAUUCUGGUGUUGACUGUUUAACUAGUGGCUCAAGGUUCAUGCCUGUGUUUUGAUUCAGUUUGUGUAAUUUGUGAUCAAGAUUCACAAUUAAUUGAAGAGUUUAGAGUGAAUUUAGAUCCACUCUUAAUUGAAAUGUUAGCAAAUUCACAUUAAUUGUCCAAUAUCGCAGAUUCAAACUCCUUCUGCCAGUCUGAUUCUGGAUCCUUUCCAAGCUUGAAAUAAUGUAAAUGAACUGUGAGCAGAAAAGGAAAAAUAACUAAGAAAAAAUAACUGUCAAGAAUGGAGCAUACAUGGAACUGGGAUUUAAAAGAUUCUGGACAUUAAACUGUAGCAACUUAUAAGUUUCCAGAAACUGUAUGUACUGACAUUUAGUCCAAAUAAAUGAGUGAUGAUACGGGAUAAUAAGGUGCAAGUGCAGCGGCCUGGCAACGUGUUUGAAAACAAAUCAGCACUAACUAUUGUCAUUUGUGUCGCAGUCUGAACAGGCCUUUAUCUUGCAUACAUGGAGGAAGGUGUACUCACAUGUACUGAACCCAACUCAAUGGUUUUUUUAGAAAUGAAGCUCAGAAGGUAGAACCCAACUCCAGGAUAAGAUCAGGCCUUGGCUGCUGUCCCAAGGAAUUAAUGAAGUAUGUGUAACAUCACCUCUAACCUGUAUGGUUCCACCACCUCUCAACAUGCAAGGUCAGAAAAGCAUUUCUUUAGACAACAGUGUUUUCAUGUACUUCUUGUAUCAGAGUUCAUUUCAUUUCCCUCAGACACUUCAGAUAGUCUGGACAGUAACAGCCUGGCUUUCAGGAUUGCUUGGCACUAAGGUAACCAUUGGGUAAUGUGAGUCUGUAAUAACCUGUGUUUAGCAUGGCAUAGAAAGGCUGCGUGUGCAGCUAAGGUUUUGUGUGUUGGCCAGUAGAAAGCUGUUAUGCUGCAAACCAUGUAAGAUGCAUUUAAGCUGCAUGUCAUUUAUGUUUAGGUACUAGAUGUCUGAAUUUUAGACACAGGCACCUAAGCUUUAUCUGUUAAGAAUGCAACACUAUUUUAAUAGUGGUCUAGCUCCAGAAGAGCUGCAUUCAAUGGAGAAUGAGGUCUGGUCUAACAAGGGAAAUGUCUGCAUUCUGCUAUAUCAAGAUAAUCCGAAAUGUUCUUUAACUGAUUUGGCACUAGCUCAGGUGUUCAAUCUGCCCUUCUUUGCUCUAUGUAAUGAUUCUGUCCAUGUUCUCAUUAUUAAUUAUGACUGAAUUAUUCAUGUUCUCUGGGAAUUUAAUGCUCAAUGUCAGUAAGAGUGAGCUGGGCGUUCGGAAUGUAGGGCAGCAAGGGCCACAUUUCUGAACAGUGAGAAGUUGUUUUAUUAAAGAUUUUACAGACCCCAAGAACACACUCUGUUCUUGAACUAAGAAUUAAUGUGUGAAACAUGAGUAUUUUGUUGCAGGGACUGCUUGACAGUGGAUUUUUAAUCUAUCACAUGCAGUCUGUGAUUUUUCUAUUACAGAUUGGUUUUUUUUGAGGGAGUAAUGUGUGCCAUAUCACUUGUUCACUACAGAGUCCACAGAUACAUUAGGUAUAAUUGGACCUCUGUUUUCAUGUUCCUUGUUGAUUUUGUUUGGUCUGGCUUUUGGCUCUAAUUCUAAUUGUCAGACUGGUAUUAUCAAUUCCUUGACAUUUCUUCCAAUACUCAUUAACUCAGGUUUCUCACUGUCUGUCUUGGGAUGCCACAGUCCUGCAAGGUAAGGAAAUAGGAUUGGAUUUUUGCGUAAUUUCAGAAGUCCAUAAUUUUAAACAUUUUAUUAACAUUCUUUUCCUUUUCUUGCCAGUUCACAGUUAAUAAAAGGUCACAGCAAUCAUCAAGUUAAUUUAGAACAAUAUGUUAAACUAAAAACAUUAAAAGCCUGUAAGUAGGUUUGCGUAGAUGUAUCACUAAUUCAUCUCAUGAACUCUAUAUCCUUAGUAAUACACAGUCUGGAAUGUGUCUUACUUCAAGUUUAAAUUGGUGCCUGAUGACUACUUGAUUAUCCUGGACUGUGAAGAACAGAGCUCAGCAGAAUCAACACAUUGGAAUAGUCUGCAUUCCAUGAGAUUUGAAAUGCAGAGACUAUCUACGACCACAGUUUCUGAGACAUGGAAGCUAUAAGGGAAUAAUACUGGAUAGCAGAAAGCCCUCUGUGCCAUGAGUGAUAUUAUGGAUUUCAGACCCCAGAAUUAAAUAGCCAUUUAGGGGGAGGCAGGCGGCUGCAAUACUGUGCCCGUACAUCAGAACAAACUUGAUCUGCUGGAAAGCCAAAGUGGAGCAACUGGAAGUGCAAGGAUUAACAACGCUGUAAAGCAUCCUAUUCACAGGUUAGAUGAUCUUAGUUUACUGCAGUUAAAUCUUGGUUAAAUUAAAACAAAGUUUAUCUGUAACUGGGUGCGUCCAUAGAAUAGUUCGCUUCACUUACUUGUACCGAUUCACUUAGUGCUUUUAGUUGCUAAUUAAUUACUUUUAGUUGCUAAUUAAUUUUCCCCAAGUGUGUUGUGCGAGUACCAGCAGGCAUACAGGACACUGCAGACAAAACA